CACACACACACACACACACACAUCAUUGUCCUCACAUGUAGACACACAAUGUCUAAUACUCAACUCAGACAACGAAAACAAGCAAAUCAGUAAACAAAUCCAGUGCCCCUUAUGGAGUUCCAUCACCAAUUAAAGGCAUGCAAAUCAAAUGAUCCUAGAGUGUUCAACUAUUCAACUUGGAUUUCAGAUAAAGCAGAAGUAGAUAAACAAAUGGCACAAGCAUCACAAAACUUUGCAUACGGAUUACAUGUAUACCGAGCACCACGACAUGUACGAAAAGAAGUAUUUAAGACUGAAUUUCUACCCCAAGUUUUCUCUCUUAAUAUGUACAGAAUCGAGUGACUUUUCAAAUAAUGACAGAAAAAGAGAAAGGGAAAGGAAUCACUUUCUUGCUAGUACAUCUUCCCACAGCUUAUGCCUUUUCUAAAAGAUUUAUUUUGAGAUUAGAGCCAAGAACUUAAAGAACAGUAGCAUGAAACCCUAAGAGAGAGAAAGAGGAGGAGGUACCCGAGUUCAAAGCCAGAUCUGAAGGUACCAGAAACAAACAGAUCAGAUACUGCAAAGCCAUCAUGAGAGAAAUCUGCAUAAUGAUAACUAGAAAAGGCUGACAAAAAAACACCAUCAUCGCAACAACAGAAAAAGAAAAUAAAAAGGGAGUAAUGAUGAAACUUUUAUUCAAAGUAGAUGGUCAAAUACUUCAUCAUUACACCAGUCUGCAAGGGUCUAACAACCUUGAUUACCCUAAAAAUGAAAACCCAUGAUCUAGAACUGCCGGUGUUUCCCAAAAAAAGACCAAUAUGACAAAUUAGAGAAAAAGAAAAAAGGGAUUUAAUUGUAGAAAAUCAAACCUUUACAUGCAAGCCUUGAAAAGUUAGGUUGGAAGCAUUAAUUGGGGGGAAUGAAGCCUGGUCCGACGACACUAGCUGAUGAUCAAUCUACUCUCUAUAUCCACAUAUGCUUAGAUCUAUGGAUAUAAUUUGAGGAAAAAUGGAUCAAAAGAGAGUCCUCGAGCCAGACAACAUUCCCCUCAAAAGAGAAGCUUCCUUUGAAGAUGGUGCUGAAUUCAUAUGAGAGAUGAAAUUGGUGCGCGAGCGUGUAUUUUUUCUGAGAUAGUUUCUCUUAUCUCUUUAUAUCCCCCAAGAGUCUCGCCUAUCUUCAAGGGGGAUGAGAGAGAGAGAGAGAGAGA
rnacentral:misc_RNA from 1 species